UGCAAGUCGAACGAGAUCUUCGGAUCUAGUGGCGCACGGGUGCGUAACGCGUGGGAAUCUGCCCUUAGGUACGGAAUAACAGUGAGAAAUUACUGCUAAUACCGUAUGAUGUCCUCGGACCAAAGAUUUAUCGCCUAAGGAUGAGCCCGCGUUGGAUUAGCUAGUUGGUGGGGUAAAGGCCUACCAAGGCGACGAUCCAUAGCUGGUCUGAGAGGAUGAUCAGCCACACUGGGACUGAGACACGGCCCAGACUCCUACGGGAGGCAGCAGUGGGGAAUAUUGGACAAUGGGGGAAACCCUGAUCCAGCAAUGCCGCGUGAGUGAUGAAGGCCUUAGGGUUGUAAAGCUCUUUUACCCGGGAUGAUAAUGACAGUACCGGGAGAAUAAGCUCCGGCUAACUCCGUGCCAGCAGCCGCGGUAAUACGGAGGGAGCUAGCGUUGUUCGGAAUUACUGGGCGUAAAGCGCGCGUAGGCGGUUUUGCAAGUUAGAGGUGAAAGCCCGGGGCUCAACCCCGGAACUGCCUUUAAAACUGCAUCACUUGAAUCCAGGAGAGGUGAGUGGAAUUCCGAGUGUAGAGGUGAAAUUCGUAGAUAUUCGGAAGAACACCAGUGGCGAAGGCGGCUCACUGGACUGGUAUUGACGCUGAGGUGCGAAAGUGUGGGGAGCAAACAGGAUUAGAUACCCUGGUAGUCCACACCGUAAACGAUGAUAACUAGCUGUCCGGGUGCAUGGCACUUGGGUGGCGCAGCUAACGCAUUAAGUUAUCCGCCUGGGGAGUACGGUCGCAAGAUUAAAACUCAAAGGAAUUGACGGGGGCCUGCACAAGCGGUGGAGCAU
rnacentral:rRNA from 1 species